rnacentral:rRNA from 1 species
ACGAACGCUGGCGGCAUGCCUUACACAUGCAAGUCGAACGCGAAAGUGUCUUCGGAUAUUAGUAGAGUGGCAAACGGGUGAGUAACGCGUGGGAAUAUACCUUAUAGUACGGAAUAGCCUCGGGAAACUGGGAUUAAUACCGUAUACGCCCUUCGGGGGAAAGAUUUAUCGCUAUAAGAUUAGCCCGCGUCAGAUUAGCUAGUUGGUGGGGUAAUAGCCUACCAAGGCAACGAUCUGUAGCUGGUCUGAGAGGACGAUCAGCCACACUGGGACUGAGACACGGCCCAGACUCCUACGGGAGGCAGCAGUGGGGAAUAUUGGACAAUGGGCGAAAGCCUGAUCCAGCAAUGCCGCGUGAAUGAUGAAGGCCUUAGGGUUGUAAAGUUCUUUUAGUGGGGAAGAUAAUGACGGUACCCACAGAAAAAGCACCGGCUAACUUCGU